rnacentral:tRNA from 1 species
UCCGGCGGGGCCGACGGCGGUACGGGGUCGUCCUCGGGCGGCGGUACAGGCAGCUCCGGUUCCAGUUCUGGCUCCGGGUC